rnacentral:rRNA from 1 species
CCAAUAGCGUAUAUUAAAGUUGUUGCAGUUAAAAAGCUCGUAGUUGAACCUCGGGGUCUACCCAUUGGUCAGGCUUAAUUGUCUGCACUGGUGAGAUGGAUCUCUACCUUCUGAGGAACUUUCAUGCCAUUUAUUUGGUGUGAUGGGAAAUCAGGACUGUUACUUUGAAAAAAUUAGAGUGUUUAAAGCAGACUAUCGUCUGAAUACAUUAGCAUGGAAUAAUGAAAUAGGACGGACUGAUUCUAUUUCGUUGGUUUCUAGGAUCACCGUAAUGAUUAAUAGGGAUAGUUGGGGGCAUUAGUAUUCAAUUGUCAGAGGUGAAAUUCUUGGAUUUAUUGAAGACUAACUACUGCGAAAGCAUUUGCCAAGGAUGUUUUCAUUAAUCAAGAACGAAAGUUAGGGGAUCGAAGACGAUCAGAUACCGUCGUAGUCUUAACCAUAAACUAUGCCGACUAGGGAUCGGACGAAGUUAUUCAUAAUGACGCGUUCGGCACCUUACG